UUUCACCAGUGCUGUCUCCUUGCUAUGAUGCACCUUUAAAUCCUGACCGAAAAUCCUCAAAUCAACUAUUACUAUCUAGAAAGUUACACAACUGGUUGGCGACAGCUUUGUCAAGGAUCUUAGAGUGAAAAGGAAGGUUAGAUAUUGGUCUAAAGUCGGCUAAAACCUAUGGAUCAGGAGUAGACUUUUUAAGGAGAGGUUUGAUUACAACUGUUUUAAAAGACUGCGGUACAUAAAGUGUUAAUAAAGACAUAUUGAUUAUAUCUAGUAAAGAGGUGCAAACUAAGGUUAAAACUUCCUUAAGCAGCAUAGUUGGGAUGGGGUCUAAGAGACAAGUUGAUGGUUUAAAUGAAGACAUUGUUGAAGUUAGUUGGCAAAGGUCAAUGGGAGAGAAACUGUAUGAGUAUAUCUCACCUUUUGCAGCUGUUUCUAAGGUGCCUGUGUUUGAAGAUAAAUCGGCGCCGGUUGAGGGCAGGAGGUGGUGAAUUUGACUCUGGGCAGUUAGAAUAUUAUAAUUUAAAGAAGCUCAUGAAGUCGUCACUACUGAGAGUUAUAGGAAUACGUCGAUCGAUAGAGCUAUGGCUCUGUCAGCCUGGCUACAGUGCUGAAGAGAAACCGAGGGUUGUUUUUGUUUUCCUCUACUAGAGAUGAGUAAAAGGCUGCUCUGGCUUUACAGAGGUCAUUCGUGCCUAUCAUGCACUAUCGUGCCCGGCUACGCGGGAUACUACCAGAUGAGUUUCUACUUCAGACACAAGCAUCUACCUUUGACCUGUGUUAGAUCAGACUUGCUCGUCACCAAUGGAGGUAAAACCUCGUAGCUGCUACUCUCACUUGCUGAGAGGAAGGAGGUGUGUGAGGAGGAGAGGAUGGGGCCACAGACUUGAGAGUUUGGUUUCACUUCAUAAACAGUACAAUGGAGCAAACAUCUCUUCAGUGGCUGCUCUGUAAGUCGAUUCUGCGCAAUACAGUAAAUUAAUGGAGUCACACUCGUGAUCAGUUAUGAGCAUAUUUUUAUGUGUGAUUCCUACUGAAGAGCAUUUUUUAGAAAAUCACCAGUAAAGAUAUGGAAUUCAUUAUUCAACAGUUAAAUUGAAAACAUUUAAUGGACUAAUUUAACCAGGUUUUAUUAGCAUUGUUCCUACACCCGUCUGAUUUCCGUAUUUUAUUUUUAGAUUUUAUUUUAUUUAACACUAAACCUGUUGUUUUUAAGAAUGUGAGGGCGGAGGUCAGUUUGGUCCCAGUACCGAAGGCUGACAGAGUUACAGCAGCUUACGUUGGUAAACAAUGACUCAUGUGAGCGAAUGUUCACUUUCUGUUGCUCUACGAGUCUUAGAUGUCACCGACACGUGAAAAUCAAGGACCAGCCUCUGCUUCAUUUAAUGUCGGUAAAGUUCUGAUGGACCGGCUUUGUCUUUAACAUACAAACCACUGAUAGUAAGUGGUAUUUAUUGAAUUUCCAAAGUUACUGUAUCUGCAGAAGAAAAUAUAAACUAUGCGUCUCUCCUUUGCCCUCUGCGCGUCCAUGUGACCUCACUGAUUUAAAUCCAAAGAGAUUUGAAGCGAGUCGCUGUGUAAGUUACCGGUGGACGUAUCUUCUAUCUAUUCCCAUGUUUAUCAUCAGCUCAGUGUGUGUGCAAAACCUCUGGUAACAUGUGAAACCUGAAAGCUCUGUAUCAUUUCCCUUCAGGGUUGACCACAGCGAUCUGCUGCAGAUCCUCUCAAGGUGAUCCUACAACCAAAGCCCCGCCCCUUGUCUCAGGCCCCCACCAGCUUGUGUUCAGGCUAGUCUGCCACCUAGUGGUGUUCUGUCCGUACUUCAUCUCCACAGCCCUCAUGGUGUCUUUAUACCGACACAAACCCACAGGUCACACACCCCACACACACACACACAGGUGUUCUGAUCUGCCUGCACCUGGGUGGAGCUGUGCUGAGGUUCUGUAGGAGUCGUUAAAGCCACAGUGAAACAUAAGCUACAGCGUCUUCGUCUUCACCUGCAGUAAGGAAAUGACCUGUCUGUCGCCAUGGCAACACCCACACCCAAUCAAGCCGACAAGGGAUUGGCUGACGGGUAUGAUGCCGUCGUUGAAGUCACCACCAGGCAUCACUUCUGAAUGGACGACCAAAAGAAAAAAAGUCUGUGUACAGACUGAUGUUUGUGACAAAUGAGGGAAAAUAACAUCAGGUGUGGUCACUGGUUAAACUGGUUCAAGUUUUUCUGUUUCCACCCUGAAGUCACUCCGUGUCUGCCUAGUACAUCUGUGGAAAAUAAAAACCUAAACAAACCCAGCGUUUAAUAAAACGCCCCAGAGUUAAAUUCUCCAGGUCACAUUGACAGGAAACAAUGAAAUAAUCCUAAACUUGAAAUUGGUGUGGCUGCGAUC